rnacentral:miRNA from 1 species
CCUAGAAGUAUUUUGUGAUGGAUAAAGAACAUGUGGGGUGUGUGUGUGUGUUUGUAUAUGUGUGUGUCUGUGUAUAUAUACACACACACACAUACA